rnacentral:misc_RNA from 1 species
GCUGGCAUGCGUUCCUUCUUCGUUCUUUUGCUGCGUCUGGACACAUUCAUCCGGCAAGCAACGCCUGAGGGAACAGAAACAAAAAGAACUGAUCGACACACAAGCACACACACUGACGGACAGGCCACCGCGUCUAUGUGCUCCACGUUAUUCUCCUCCUCUCGCUCUUGACCCCCUCCCAGGAGCCACCUCAGUGUCGGCCGACACAACACCGCUAAAUCUCUGAAGCGCCCCUAGCAGCGCCGUCUCUCGAACUCCCUCUCCUCUCUUGAAAAAAUAGCAACGAAGUUCUUUGUAGCGCAGCCCCUCCGCCCCUUCACCACCCCUUCGCUGCUUUUACUCUCCGCCUCUCCUCUUCCUGCCAUCGCACGCACUCUUCUGUCUUGUGCGCUCGCUCCUCGCGCACGUGAGCCAGUUGACGUAGGCCUGUAACGUCAGUGUGUCAGUUCUUAGUCCAUGCUCGCGAUGUUUGAUGGGGUGGCACUUCCGUUUGGGGACGCCCCCCUGGAUGGGACUUCCUCAGCGUCAGAGGAAGUUCGAUGGAUGGCCUUUGCUCGCGACCUGGUUCUGCAAGAGCUCCGGAGUACCCCUUCCACGGCGCAGGCGUGGGCUGAUGCGACUGCCCGCUCGCAAGAGGCGCAGCGUGGGCAUUACCGGACCUACCGCGACUUUGUCAACCAUAUGCAAGAGCGGCUCCCGUGCCACAUGGGUGUCGGUAGUCCGUCACCGAUUUCAGGUGCUGUUCGACCCAUUGCUGGACGCUACCGCUGCGGUUUGCUCGACCGCGUUGAGGUUGCCGCACCGCCUGCUACACUGUGGCGUGCGACGGCGCUGGGUGCACCAACGAGAUCUGUGCCGCGCCUUCGCAGCCACGAAGGGCCGAUAGAGGAGGAUGGAGAGGAGGAGGAGCCGCUCUUGAUGUCGUCGUCUACGAGUGUCACGGACGGCAUGACGCAGAUGGUGGUCUCCCAGGCCUCUCUCGACGGCGUUUUUUUCGAGGCUCUUCUGGGCCAAGAACUCAACCUAGCGCUGUGGCGGAGCUGCGGCGCACCACAGGAGGCGCUGCAGUGUGCGCUGGAAGAGAUGCAGCGGCUAGAUCAGGCCGCUUGUGAGGAAGACGCCGCUCUACGCUACCUCAACACCACGCGCUUCGCCGAGCAGCGUACGUACAAGCGACGCCGCGCUGAGCUGCAGUCGCAGCGGCAGAAAACGCGCGAGAAGGUCUUCGCUCUGGAAAAGUUGGUGCGCGUCGAAACUGCGGGGUCGUCUCCGCGUGAAGUUGGUGCUGGCGAGCGCUUGCGUGCGUGCUUGCUCGAGUAGCGUUUCCCUCUUCGCGGGUCGCGCCUCCUCAGUGUCGGAGGUGACGGUCUGUGCCGCUCGCGGUGCAACGCCGCGGCGCUAAAAUGAGAAGAAAACCUCCCCGUCUUCCCGCCGCCGCCUAUCAUCGCGCCACGAAUGGCGACGCGUCCAGGGAAUUCAAGGACAGGCAAGCCAAAAGGAAAGUACUUCAUGGACGAGCAUGUGCAAGUUAUGCGGCGCUUCCGAGCUGGUGUGGUUUUGCCGAGGCUCCCCCUCUCCCCCCUUGUGCUGGAGGACCACGUCCGCUGCCUCGGUGUCGUUUCUGCCGCGCCAAGAGCUGACGCAGCAGGGAGUGACGCGGCAGGCGCGUUGCUCUUUAUCUCCCUCAGUGCCUCCCCUCCGCUCAUGCCGCCCCUUUUCCAUCCUCCGUCGUGUCGGCUCUGGCUUCCUCGUGCGUGUUCCGACCCCCUCCACCCCUCAAACUUCGAGUAG